rnacentral:lncRNA from 1 species
CAAGACUGGGCUGAGUUUGUGGCGCGCUUAGUGAUGGGAGGGCGCUGUGCAGGACGCCGACACGAAAAGAUGAAGAGUUCAAUCCGUGCUGUCUGAACUCACAGUGUAGCGGGCGAGAUAGACGGGAAGAUCGGUAGGGUGGGAGAUGCCGGAAAGGCUUCCCGUGAAACUGGAUAAGAAAUCAAAAAUCUGGUGAAAUUGCCGGCAGGAGGGAGUUAAGGACAUUCCAGGCAGAGGCAAGGCUCCCGCUGAAGUAACCCAGACGCCAGGGAUAUCUCUGCCUGCUCCACUCUGACCCUAGUGCUCAAUGUGCCUGCCAGGCCUUGCUAGGGAUGCUGUGCCAGUGUGAGGAGGAAGGUGGUCUCCAGCUCUCACCCCAUAGAAGCUUUCUGCCUCAGUUUCCCUAACCUGGAACACCACAGUGACUCCCGAAUUGAAAAACACUGC